GACGAACGCUGGCGGCGUGCUUAACACAUGCAAGUCGAACGAUGAAGCCGGAGCUUGCUCUGGUGAAUUAGUGGCGAACGGGUGAGUAACACGUGAGUAACCUGCCCUUGACUCUGGGAUAACUGCUAGAAAUGGUAGCUAAUACCGGAUACGACCCUCGGCGGCAUCGCCAGGGGGUGGAAAGAAUUUCGGUCAAGGAUGGGCUCGCGGCCUAUCAGCUUGUUGGUGAGGUAACGGCUCACCAAGGCGACGACGGGUAGCCGGCCUGCGAGGGUGACCGGCCACACUGGGACCGAGACACGGCCCAGACUCCUACGGGAGGCAGCAGUGGGGAAUAUUGCACAAUGGGCGCAAGCCUGAUGCAGCAACGCCGCGUGAGGGAUGACGGCCUUCGGGUUGUAAACCUCUUUUAGUAGGGAAGAAGCGAAAGUGACGGUACCUGCAGAAAAAGCACCGGCUAACUACGUGCCAGCCGCCGCCGUAA
rnacentral:rRNA from 1 species